UUCUAAUGCAUUUCAUCCUGAAGGGACCCAAUCCCAUUUGAUCUUGGAUGAUAAGCUGGGUCAGCCCUGGUUAGUACUUGGAUGGGAGACUUGUCAAUGAAGACCAUAUGCUGUAGGCU
rnacentral:rRNA from 1 species